UAUUUCUUAAUAUUGUUACAAAAAGUAGUAUUAAGUUUUAUUUGUAUUGCUAUAUGCAUCCCUGAUUAUGAACAAUAGCUGUAGGUAUAUGGAAUAGCAUUUGUCUUGUUGUAGACAUCUGGCGCCACGGCUGUCUGCUUGUCUAGUUAAACAAUUGCUGAGUCUGGCGCCGCGAC